rnacentral:lncRNA from 1 species
GGCUGACAGGAGAUGCUUGUAGGUGAUUCCCAGGGAGGUGUCUGAGAAACACUUUCAGCUACUUUCCCAAAGCUAAGUGUUUCCAAAGAUGCUUGAAACAGUUGUGUAGAGAACAGGAUGGACCAAACUGGGAGAUGACUGAGCACCAGAUGUCCCUUAUGAUUCUCAGAGUGCCAUGAGGUGAGCCCUCUGUGACUUCACAGGGUAAAUCCCUGCCUUAGUAAUAGCAGAGUGCUUAGCCUGAGGAUAGCUCAGAGCCCAGCAAGGAGGGCUGGGAUUCACACUGAGCACGUGUGUCUGCCUCGGCUUGGGCUGUUUUCUGGGAUGGACUACCUGAAAUUCAUCAUGUCCACAUCCAUAUGUGUGAAAGUGCAUGAGGAGGACAUGGAAUGAUGCCACAUAUCUUGCUACAAAUAUGUAUAAACAGUUGCUGAAUGUAUGCAUACAGUAUCCCUCCUCAUUGCUGGGCUGUCAGACAUGACAAUCAGAAGCAUUAGCCCAUCCAGGACAACUUCAACUCUAAAAGACACUUAGUUCCCCAGACAGUCUCUGCAGAUUCGCUCAGGAGAAUGACACCUUCAGACUGCAGCCUGGCACUAGGUCAACAUCAGCAUCAGUGAUGCUUGGCCUCCUCCCUCUUCUCUCUUUUCUUUCUUCCUCCACUGGUAACUACAGUAAGACCUUAGAAUAUGUCAGAGCAUAACAAUCCUGUUCAACCCCCUCCAGGGCUAUCUCAGAGCAAACCUCUCCCCCGCUGUGCACUACCCCUGACGAUGGUGCCCUCGGUCUUUAAUGCAUUAGGAGAGCUCCCACCUUAGGGGUUGGCCUUCACAGUGGUCCAAUUCCUUAGGAUCUCUCCCUCCAGGUGCCUGUGCACUCCACCACAACAACUAUCAUUCGGAA